UACAGAGGUCUCAAGCGUUGUUCGGAUUCAUUGGGCGUAAAGGGUGCGUAGGUGGUGCUGUAAGUCAGGUGUGAAAUCUCGGGGCUCAACCCCGAAACUGCACUUGAUACUGCCUUGCUCGAGUACUGGAGAGGAGAUUGGAAUUUACGGUGUAGCAGUGAAAUGCGUAGAUAUCGUAAGGAAGACCAGUGGCGAAGGCGAAUCUCUGGACAGUUACUGACACUGAGGCACGAAGGCCAGGGGAGCAAACGGG
rnacentral:rRNA from 1 species